GUGUUGAUAGUUCAGUGGUAGAAUUCUUGCCUUCCAUGCAGGGGACUGAGGUUCAAUUCCCAGCCGAUACA
rnacentral:tRNA from 1 species